rnacentral:rRNA from 1 species
GAUGCGAGCGUUAUCCGGAUUUAUUGGGUUUAAAGGGUGCGCAGGCGGUACGGAAAGUCAGCGGUAAAAUUACGGAGCUCAACUCCGCCGAGCCGUUGAAACUUCCGCACUAGAGUGAGCGAGAAGUAAGCGGAAUGCGUGGUGUAGCGGUGAAAUGCAUAGAUAUCACGCAGAACUCCGAUUGCGAAGGCAGCAUACCGGCGCUCAACUGACGCUGAAGCACGAAGGCGUGGGUAUC